AGUGAACGCUGGCGGCAGGCCUAACACAUGCAAGUCGAACGGCAGCACAGAGGAGCUUGCUCCUUGGGUGGCGAGUGGCGGACGGGUGAGGAAUACAUCGGAAUCUGCCUAGUCGUGGGGGAUAACGUAGGGAAACUUACGCUAAUACCGCAUACGACCUACGGGUGAAAGCGGGGGAUCGCAAGACCUCGCGCGAUUAGAUGAGCCGAUGUCCGAUUAGCUAGUUGGCGGGGUAAUGGCCCACCAAGGCGACGAUCGGUAGCUGGUCUGAGAGGAUGAUCAGCCACACUGGAACUGAGACACGGUCCAGACUCCUACGGGAGGCAGCAGUGGGGAAUAUUGGACAAUGGGCGCAAGCCUGAUCCAGCCAUGCCGCGUGGGUGAAGAAGGCC
rnacentral:rRNA from 1 species